GAGAACGGUCAUAUCUGGUGGAAAGCGCCCCUAACCCGUCCGAUCUAAGGUAAGCUAAGUCACCACGAGUCGAGUUAAGUUACCUAGUGUGGGGGACCCGUCUAGUAGAAGUCUCGAUGCUGUUCUUU
rnacentral:rRNA from 1 species